GGACCGUGGCUCAGUGGUAAAGCACUUGCCUAGAAUGCAUGAGGCACUGGGUUCAAUCCUCAGCACCA
rnacentral:tRNA from 1 species